rnacentral:rRNA from 1 species
AGAGUUUGAUCAUGGCUCAGAUUGAACGCUGGCGGCAGGCCUAACACAUGCAAGUCGAGCGGUAGAGAGAAGCUUGCUUCUCUUGAGAGCGGCAGGACGGGUGAGUAAUGCCUAGGAAUCUGCCUGGUAGUGGGGGAUAACGUUCGGAAACGGACGCUAAUACCGCAUACGUCCUACGGGAGAAAGCAGGGGACCUUUGUCCUUGCGCUAUCAGAUGAGCCUAGGUCGGAUUAACUAGUUGGUCGGGUAAUGGCUCACCAAGGCGACCAUCCGUAACCUGGUCUGAGAGGAUGAUCAG